CCUACGGGAGGCUGCAGUCGAGAAUCAUUCACAAUGGGGGAAACCCUGAUGGGGCGACGCCGCGUGGGGGAAGGAAGGUCUGCGGAGUGUAAACCACUGUCAUGGGGGAGCAAAUUAAAAAGAUAGUACCACAAGAGGAAGAGACGGCUAACGCUGCGCCAGCAGCCGCGGUAAGACAGAGGGCUCAAGCGUUGUUCGGAAUCACUGGGCGUAACGGGUGCGUAGGCUGUUUCGUAAGUCGUGGGUGAAAGGCGCGGGCUCACCCCGCGGACGGCCCCUGAUACUGGGAGACUAGAGUACUGGAGUGGCAACCGGAAUUCUCGGUGUAGCCGUGAAAUGCGUAGAUAUCGGGAGGAACACUCGUGGCGAAGGCGGGUUCCUGGACAUUAACUGACGCUGAGGCACGAAAGCCCGGGGAGCGAACAGGAUUAGAUACCCCUGUAGUC
rnacentral:rRNA from 1 species